UACGUAGGGCGCAAGCGUUGUCCGGAAUUAUUGGGCGUAAAGCGCACGUAGGCGGCCAAUUAAGUCGGGCGUGAAAGCCCAGGGCUCAACCCUGGAAGUGCACUCGAAACUGAUUGGCUUGAAUAUGGAAGAGGGUCGCGGAAUUCCCGGUGUAGAGGUGAAAUUCGUAGAUAUCGGGAGGAACACCAGUGGCGAAGGCGGCGACCUGGGCCAAUAUUGACGCUGAGGUGCGAAAGCGUGGGGAGCAAACAGG
rnacentral:rRNA from 1 species